rnacentral:rRNA from 1 species
UACGGAGGGUGCAAGCGUUGUCCGGAUUUAUUGGGUUUAAAGGGUGCGUAGGUGGUGUCUUAAGUCUGGUUUGAAAGCAGGCGGCUUAACCGUCUGAUGUGGCUGGAAACUGGGGCACUUGAAUGGGUUGGCGGUAGCCGGAACGGGUCAUGUAGCGGUGAAAUGCAUAGAUAUCAGGAAGAACACCCGUGGCUAAGGCGGCUCUCUAGUACGGUACUGACGCUGAGACGCGAAAGCGUGGGGAGCGAACAGG